rnacentral:rRNA from 1 species
UACAGGGGGGGCAAGCGUUGUUCGGAAUUACUGGGCGUAAAGGGCCAGUAGGCGGCCAACUAAGUCGCACGUGAAAUCCCCAGGCUUAACCUGGGAACUGCGUGUGAUACUGGAUGGCUUGAAUUCGGGAGAGGGAUGCAGAAUUCCAGGUGUAGCGGUGAAAUGCGUAGAUAUUCGCAAGAACACCAGUGGCGAAGGCGGCUCACUGGCCCGAUACUGACGCUGAGGUGCGAAAGCGUGGGGAGCAAACAGG